rnacentral:rRNA from 1 species
UACAGAGGGGGCAAGCGUUGUUCGGAAUUACUGGGCGUAAAGGGCGCGUAGGCGGCCUGCUAAGUCGAACGUGAAAUCCCCGAGCUCAACUCGGGAACUGCGUCCGAUACUGGCAGGCUUGAAUCCGGGAGAGGGAUGCGGAAUUCCAGGUGUAGCGGUGAAAUGCGUAGAUAUCAGGAGGAACACCUGCGGUGUAGACGGCUUUCUGGACCAUAACUGACGCUGAGAUACGAAAGCGUGGGUAGCAAACAGG